rnacentral:rRNA from 1 species
UACAGAGGGUGCGAGCGUUGUCCGGAAUCACUGGGCGUAAAGGGCGCGUAGGUGGCGCUCCAAGUCUGUGGUGAAAGCUCGACGCUCAACGUCGAGUCGGCCAUAGAGACUGGAGGGCUCGAGCACUGUAGGGGCAGAUGGAAUUCCGGGUGUAGCGGUGGAAUGCGUAGAGAUCCGGAAGAACACCGGUGGCGAAGGCG